ensembl:lncRNA
GUUUUCUUGUGUGUUUUAGUGUUAAUAUAACUACUUUUUGGAUUAUUCCUUUUUUAAAAAUUUGAGAUGCACCAAAUCAUACAAAAGACUCAACAUUACAUCUGAGAUUUGUUUUUAAAUGUUUACUGGAAGAGAAAUUUAGAUUUUUAAUGUAUUUUUUAAUUUUGUAUUUGUUGUUUGGUCGAGGUGUAAAACAGACUAUAUGGAAAGCUGCUCACCAUUUAAAGAAAUGCUCAUUUCCUGCUGUUAUGGAAAUUUUAACAAUAACCUGCAACACACCCAGUGAGCUUGAUUUGAAGUGGGUUUAAUAAACACAUUGCAAUGUGGAGAAAACGUUCAGGUCAAACACCAAACAGUUUUCUGAGGAAAGACACCGCCCAUGAACAAUUUUAUACCUUCCCAAACACUGUCAAACAAAGAGCAUUCCACAGCACAUCAUUUAUCUCUAUACCUUCAGUCCAACUCAUCCUUGACUCCCCCCAAAUCCAAGGAAAAUUAUGACCACCCGUCACCUCCCUACAAGCAGGAAGCCUGUAGACCUUCAACUUUAUAACAGGGCCCCCACCUAAACAUCCACAUCCCUCGAUAAGCAAAAGGAGUCUCACCAUCUAUUUAAUGUCUCCCUUACAAAGGUCUCACUGUGUGUGUAGAGCACAAGGCCCCUCUGUAGUCAGCAUGCAUACAACUAAGUGAGAAAGUGAAAUUACUAUAACUAAUGUGAUAUGAUUAAAUAUGUGAUUAAUACACGAGAAAAGAAAUCUGCCACCACACUGCAGAGCUUACUCCACUCUCCAGGUUUUGGUCAUAGUGAUGGGUCUGAUCCUAUGACAACUGGGAUAGGCUCCGCCUGCGACCCUGAUAAGGACAGGCUGAAGAGAAUGGAUGGAUGGAAGUGACAGAGAACAAAACCAUGACAGCUGAACCUGGACAGGACAUCACUUUGACAUGUCGAGCUCCAAACAACAACAACAUUGUUGUUCUAGAGUGGAGCAGAGCUGACCUGGGAGAGAAAUAUGUGCUUCUGUUCCGGGAUGAGCUGUUUGAUUUAGAACAACAGCAUCCAUCUUUUAAGAACCGGGUGGAGCUGCAGGACAGACAGAUGAAGGAUGGAGACGUGUCUUUGAUUCUGAAGGAUGUGACGACUAAUGACACUGGAACAUACGAGUGUCGUGUUGUCCAGAGAGGAACUAAACGCAGGAAGAGAGCUGUUUUGAAAAAUGACCCCAUCAGCAUCGUCACCUUGAAAGUUGAUCCUCUAGGUCAGACAGGAGGAGACACAGAGGAUGGAGGGAAGAAUGGAUCUGCUGGACUGAUUGUCGGUCUGAGUGUUCCUGCUGUGCUUCUUGUUGCUGUUGUUGGUUUUUUGAUCUACAGAAAACAUAAACAACCACAGAGGCAGGAUUCAUACCAGCCUCCUGUUGAACUGCAGCCUGUUUGAAAUGUCAGCUUAACUGUGAUUCUUGUGCUUUGUUUUCAGUCGUGUCACUGAAAAUGUGGAAAGACAGAAGUCAGUAAUAUUAAACAUUUAGCAGGUAUCUGUCAGACAGGUCCAGAUUUUGCAUUUAAUUUACAUUUUUCAUCAGAAAAGAGGAGAAAGUUGUUUGGAAUAUAAACAGUAUUUGUCUGAUAUGACUCAGGAUCCUUUGAUCACAUGUUGCUGGUGUUUGACUCGUUUUAAAUGUAAUUAUAUUCAAAUGAAACCAAAGAAAAAAACAUUUCUAUGUAGCUGCAGAGUCCAACAUUUCCUCCCUUUGACCUGAAACGAUUCAGCUUUAUUGAACUUUACCUUCCAUGAAGGAGACUCUUCAGUCUGUUACUGUCCAGUUGUUACUUUCCUUUAAAUAUUUUCCUGACAAAGAUCCACAUGUGUUAGUACUUAAUGUGUAUGUUUUUUUUAUACCAACAUUUCCUGUGGCUGUACUUUUUUUGUUCUGUUUUCAAUCAGAAGCUCUGACUUCCUGAAACUGUUGAUGCAGAUUUUGUCACCUUGAAUUGAUCCAAAAUAAAUACAACCAUGUGUGAACUGUUUCUGCUUCUCAUAAUUACAGACCUGCCUCUCAGAGGUAGAUUCUGAUAAUAUAUCAGAAUCGUUGGACAAUUGGUCAAAUACAUUAUUCUGUAUUCUUCCUCCCUAUUACAUUGAUAAAACUGCCUUUUUUUGAUCAACUACCUGUACAGUGCAGGCUAACCUGGAGGUUAGCAGCUCACAAUAUGACCUCAAAUUUCAACUAGUUCUAAAAAGGAGUCCGGCUACCUUCACCAGAACACAACAUAGACACGGUAGUCCUGAUGCUCAAUCAAGGGUGAUUCUGUUCAUCUGGACAUUUUCAGUAGGAGAAACGUUUCGUCACUCAUCCAAGUGACUUCUUCAGUCUCAGCUGAGUCAGAAAUCAGGAAGAGGGUUUAUUGCCAAAUCUUACAUAUUGUAGGAUUAAAGAAAUUAUUUUACGGUUACUGUUCAUAACCAUCAUCUUUAUCAUUGCAUUAAUUAUCAUUUCAUCAAAGCAUUUAUUGAAGCUGUUGGCAUUAUGUUAUAAUUUGUAUUACAGGGGUUAUCAUAAUCACAUAUUAACAUGUUUAUUACAGGUGCAGUUAGAACCACUUAAAUCGUUGAGUUAAAUCUAUAAUCUUAAAAGCUUAUAUGCUGAGUAUAUUGUUACAGUAAAAAUAGUAGCUGAGCAAAGGCCUGAGUGUAUUCAGCAACAUGUUGCACUAGAGUUUACUUGACAACAGGUGACAGAAGGAGGACAAGUCCAUGGGGACCUCAAAGGCCUGAGAUCAUCACCAUAUUCGGAAGAGGAUGCCAGAAAGGGGAACUUCUGUGUCUGCAUUUAUCUCUUAGAAUUGAUCAUUGUCUGUAAAAGAGGCAAAUAAUGUUCUUAAGAUGCAAAUUAUGUGCUUGUAAACGCAAGAGGGGGCGUUAUAAUACCCUGAUGUUAUAAAAGCAAUCUGGAGUGUAUUUUUGGGUGGAGAUUUACAACUAAUGUUCUGCAGUUUACACCUCCCCACACUGCGUGUAUUCAUUAAAAUCAAUUGUUUGACC